rnacentral:lncRNA from 1 species
UGGGGAGGCACCCCAUUCACAAACCGAUGGUAGGUCUGAACACAUUUCUCUGCACGUGUCCAUAUUAUUGUCUCGCGUCUAAUGCAAAAUUGUUAUGUUUGAGGACAAUUGAUGAGCAAUCACGGAAGCAGUUAGGAUGUAAAUCACUAGUAUAUCUUACCAACGGAUCUGAUCAAUCCUUACGGUCUUCUCCAAAGUGUGGACCCGAGCAGCACAUUUCCCUCCUUUUCACUAAAGUCAGUUCUCACGCCGGUGCCUGAAGAAAACCCAGCCAGUGUCACAAAUGAAGACGUAGAUAUAGAAGGAAAUGACGGAGAAGACAGUCACGCUAACUGCUCCGCUCCCAGGGGCAUCCUGAGGCCAGAGUCAGUUUUAUUGGACACACAGAGUGCAGUCGGGGCAGAGUCUCCCACGGACGCCUGGACUGACCGGAAGCAGGUGAGGUUCAGUUGCAGUGGGGUGAAGAGGCAGGAUGGGAAGGAGCUUGGAGAACACAGCCUGUUGGAUGUGGACGCACUCGCUCCGACAGAGGAGGAAAACGGCAGUGAAGCGGGAAAUAAAAGUGCAGCCGAGCCUGUGCUGGAGCAGCCGGCGAGCAAAUCAACCGAGACGGAGGUGGCAUUGCAAGAUGGCGGCCAACAAGUUAAAAGUGGUCAGUCGGAGCCGUGCCAGACCCCAAAUCAAGUGUCCUGUAUCAUUUCAGCCAGUCAGGAGCCUGGUAAGCCUGUCCAAACGGAGACACCGCCUGAGGACGACCACAUCCCUCAGGCCGCUGAAAAGCAACCGACCAAUGACAGCUCCAAGAAACCCUCUCAUGCAAUCUCACCGACAGCUAAGCAGAAGCUUUUGGAUUUUCAAAAGAGACAAAGCGAAAAACACUGACGCACAAAAGGAGGAGGUGAAGCAGAAAAAAGCACAAAGCGAGGAUUUAGUGAAAGGCUUUUCACAAGAAAAAACGACUGAUGCUGAGACAACACAAGUGCGAACUCUCCAACUCAACGCUAUGCAAAACACUCCUUUCAGUGAAUCAGCAGAUGCCCCUUCACACACAACGGAGGACAGGGAUGCAAAGUCUACAGAAAGCUCAUCCGAUUUGAAAGCAUCCCCAGAGGAGGAAAACAGCAAGCCAAAUACUGCAUCUACUGAAUCUUUUACACACAUUAUUCAGGAAGAUAGGAGUCAAGAAAAUGUGGAAAUCGCAGAGAAUGAAGGGAAUUCUCGAUGUGGA